rnacentral:lncRNA from 1 species
AGAGAUAAGUUGAUUCCUCAACCAUUGGAUAUGGUUUGUGAUUUAAGAUUCGGAACGAACGAUGGAAAAAAAAGAAUAGGGUAGCGUCCAAAUAAUAAUCCAACAGUUCUGAUACGUCAACUGAGAUUUGAUAUUUUUUCCUUCUAAAAAUCAGGCAAUUGAGAUAUAGCCACACACACUUUUAAUAAUUGAUGGCUAUGUGCAUCGAUCGAUGCAGAGACCAGGGGAUACCCUCAUUUUCGGGAGAAAAAUGUCAUAUGCAUGGAUUGUGUUUCAGAUAUAUAUAAAAAACGUUUUAUUUGACAAAUGGGUAGUCCCAGCUAACAGUGAGUAAUUUAUGUUCAGCAAAGUAUACUUAUUUGUUCACAUCAAGUACAGACACGAGACAAGUAGGAACUCAGAUUACGGACAUUGUCCUCGAUUGGAUAUGGUUUGUGAUUUAAGAUUCGGAACGAACAACGGAAAAAAAAAA